ACUGAAGCCAGUUUUUUUUAAUUACAGCUAACCAGAAAAUCAUUACGGAUCAGUUCAUCUUCAGAUGACAGCUUUGCAGCAGAAUCUAGCAGCAUUGAAAACAGUGACGACGAUUUUGUGCCAGAUUCACAAGAAUCUGACUGUUCUGAGGAAUCUCAAGAGGCGAAAAGCUCAUCUCCCAAUGUGACCCUAGACAGCAGCGAUGAUAAUACAUCUUCAAUGAUUGCAACCCAACAGUCUUCCUCUCUUGAAACUACACCCAGAAGGCUAGGAAGAAAGGAAAGGAAUCAGGAGGACCGUGGAGAGCACCGAGGAGGCCGAGUGGCUCUGUUCCUGGACAGCAGGCGGCAGAGAGGUGCUUGACCACAAUUAGCUAUCAUUUUGGUUCAAUACAAAUCAUUGAUUAAGAGACAGCACAUGUCACUGUGAAAAGUAUUUAUUAAGUGUUAACUACUUUAUUGCAAUCCCUAUUGACAUUGUUACUUUGUUCUUAAUGACUUUACGUCCUUGUUCACAGUCCAGAUCAUAUCAUACUUCUCUCCCACAGACUAUACAUGACUCACGGCCAAGCAGCCCAGGAUCCCGAACACCACAGGGUCAGUGAGUGUGUCUGCCUCAGACUGGCCAAGGAGUUUGAGCAGUCACGCAACAGGCCCAAGGACACGAGGGGGAAAACCCUGCCCAUCCCUCAGUCGAUUGUGAGCGUCUACAGCCACAUUAGACAGCUGCUGGAGGACAGCAGGGUUAUCGUGGUCCAGACGGCGCUGGCUCUGGUGCCGGUGAACAACACCACGGUCUCUGCAUGGCUGCUUAGGAGGGACAUGAGGAAGGACAGGAACAUGCUGCUGCAAGGCAAUGUUCUCCCUCAACAGCUGUACCUGGCCAAGGAGCCUCUCCCUCCAAUCAACACUCUCCCAACAUGCACA
rnacentral:lncRNA from 1 species